rnacentral:rRNA from 1 species
GACGUAGGGCGCGAGCGUUGUCCGGGUUUAUUGGGCGUAAAGAGCUCGUAGGCGGCUUGUCGCGUCGUCCGUGAAAACCUGCGGCUCAACUGCAGGCUGGCGGUCGAUACGGGCUAGCUAGAGUGUGGUGGGGGAGAUCGGAAUUCCUGGUGUAGCGGUGAAAUGCGCAGAUAUCAGGAGGAACACCGGUGGCGAAGGCGGAUCUCUGGGCCAUUACUGACGCUGAGGAGCGAAAGCGUGGGGAGCGAACAGG